rnacentral:tRNA from 3 species
GCCCAUGUAGCUCAGUUGGUAGAGCGCGUCCUUGGUAAGGACGAGGUCGGCGGUUCAAGUCCGCUCGUGGGCUCCA